GGGACUACGCGGGUUUCUAAUCCCGUUCGCUCCCCUGGCUUUCGUGUCUCAGCGUCAGCACACCCCCAGCUACCUGAUUUCUCCGUUGGCGUUCCAAAUGAUAUCUACGCAUUUCACCGCUCCACCAUUUGUUCCGGUAGCCCCUAGGUGGCUCAAGACCCCCAGUAUGCCCAGCCGUUCCACGGGUGAGCCGUGGGAUUUCACAAGGCACUUAGGGGUCCGCCUACACACGCUUUAAGCCCAGUGAUUCCGCCUAACGCUCGAGGCCUCUGUAUUACCGCGGCGGCUGACAC
rnacentral:misc_RNA from 1 species